rnacentral:rRNA from 1 species
UACAGAGGUGGCAAGCGUUGUUCGGAAUUACUGGGCGUAAAGGGCGCGUAGGCGGUUUCGUAAGUCCUGUGUGAAAUCCCCCGGCUCAACUGGGGAACUGCACAGGAAACUGCGAGGCUUGAGUUCGGGAGAGGGAAGCGGAAUUCCGGGUGUAGCGGUGAAAUGCGUAGAUAUCCGGAGGAACACCGGUGGCGAAGGCGGCUUCCUGGACCGACGCUGACGCUGAGGCGCGAAAGCCAGGGGAGCAAACGGG